CAUUUGGGGCUUGAACCCAUGACGGGCAUGUUGUUAAGUCGUACGAGUUGACGACUGUACUACGAGACCGGCUUAUCGUUUACCAGGAGAAAAAGAUUGGAGGUUAGAUACGUGCAGCUAUUUCGCCUCCGCAGGAAGUGUUCUUCAGGAGUAUUCCAAGCUGUCCGAAGACACACAAGUCCGAUUCACCUCGUAUGCACCCAGCGGAUUUCAUGCGAAGGAUAUUGAAAAGCCAUCAAAGAAGUGGGCAUGAUGCUACACCGUGCAAGAAAAGUCCUAUUAACCAUCACGUCUAAAGCCUCCUUUUGUUGGCAUCCUGGCUGCUGAUAUCCGCAUCUAUUAUUUAAGUAUAACUGCAAAAUGCAAAAUCAUCUCCAGCUAUUUUUGCUAAAAAUGCAUCAAACUGUUGUUCAUUUCCGAUUUUUUUAAUUGCUAAACUCUCCGCUUUUCUUCUUAUACUCUUCAUAGGAUUCAGUAUUGUUGACUGCUCAUUUUAAAUCACCAUUAUCUGUGCGCUGCGUGCAUCUAUUUUCAUCAACAGCAUCCGACAACGAAGGCAGCAGCUUCCAGAAUACUCUGUAGAAGUAAAUGAAAGGACUGCUUGAUUUGCUCUUGCUGCAGCCUGGUGUUCAUCGUCGGUGAUCAUCAUUAUUGCAGCCGCUAUCACCGAUGCAGAAGCACUGGUGGGUAAAUGUUGUCUUACAACAGCGGUCAUCAUACCACGCUGAUUCUUCGGAGCAUGAACUUCGGCAAGCGAUGCAAUCGAUGGUACUGCAGAUCCCGUCAAUGCCUGUUGCCUACCGAUCUUCAUGCCUGAUUCCUGCGGUAGAGCAUCAGCAACCGGUACCACUGAUGGCGCAGCUGUAUUAGUUGACGGUUGCUGUCCACGUUGCUGGCCUAACGGACGGAAUGGUGCAGGAACACCAGGUAAUGUUGACCGAUGAUGAUUAUUAUCACCGGCAUUCGAGACCAGCGCUGACACUGCAUCCGUUACCUUGAGCUGUUCAACAACACGGACUGGCAUUCUUUGUUGACUCGCGCUGACCGACCACUGAAUCCACCGAUGGCACUGCACUUGUUGUCGGAAGUUGUCGAACAACACGGACCGGCAAUCUGGGAGGACAGAUGCCACGUGGAAUGGCAACCGGAACCACCGAUGGCACUGCACUUGUCGAGGGAAGUUGUCCAACAACACGGACUGGUACAUCUGACUGACGAAACGAUUACACAUCCGCAAUGGCCGAAGGCAUCAAUUGUAAAGAAAGUGGCACUUGAGACUCUUCCCCAACUUCCUUUUAUACUGCAUUUCGAGUUGCCGGUGCGCAGACUUAUGAAUGAGUGGGAGGAGUCUAAGGACUUGUGAAGAAGGAAUAGGAUAUGGUGCGGUGUUGAUGAUUAUUGUGCCUGUUGCUUGUACUACCGAAUGUCGCCAAGCUACUCAUCACAUACCCGCGUUUUAUGUACCCAUUCUUGGUGUUUCCGUGUUACUCGCCAUCGCGCUGUAGUUGGAUCAUACUGCACCUGUCCUGAUUCGAUUAAUGUCACCGCAAAGACAAAAUUAGAGCACGCGUUCGUAUUCCUAAUCCUUCGGCACCGUCUGGAGAAUGUGAGAGUCACUGCUCUAUAAAAACCACCGGACUACCACAAACUGGAAACAGCGGAAAACCCCGUGGGUCACCGGGCACCAACAUGCAUAUCGGCUGAAACUUGGAUCCAUGCUAAAUUGAAGCAAAGUUGAACUAAUAUGCCGUGCGAAAAAGCAAAAUAAUUAUUUCAUUUUAAUGUUUAUUAAGCUAAACCGUCAUUAUAUUUUUCAUCUAAAACGUUAUUGAUGUGUAUUUUCUAAUCGCGUUUAGGCGUCGUGUAUCAGAUCGCAACUGCUAAUAAUUUCGUCGUGUGAGGCGGACUGUUAUGGAUGUAUCAAAUCUUCAGUGAUGAUGAAUGCGUUCAUGCAUCUACGAGCCGGUAACUGGCGGUAUCCAGAUCAUUGUCGUUUUGUUAGCUUACCUAAGCUACCGAAAUUAGCGACAGUGUAAAAUCUGUGCUGUGAGAAUUACAGCUGCCGUACGAAGCGCAGCAUAUUGGAGCAAGUCCAAUCGGACAGCAACCACCUGGAGCAAACGUACGCCGGACGAAUGGACGUGGUAGAGGCGUUAUGAUUGGAAGGCGAUAUUUGCGCUCUGAAAAUGCUAGCACAGAUGUUUGGGCCACAGAGUUUCAGAUAAACUGUUCUCAUCAAUGCCACACCAUGUACGGUCAGUUAGUUACACUUCAUCACGAAGGACAAUCACAUCUGGGUAACGGAAUGCUGCCAAAACGAUGCUUUAAAUCCUUUUGUUGAAGACAUCAACAAAGUCCAAGACGAUGGAAUAAUGAUAAAUGGAAAAAAAUAAAAGUAAAACUACGAGCAAUUAUCGCAGAUUCUCCGGCUCGUGCGUUUAUUAAAGGAGUAGCUUAUUUCAAUGCCAAGCAUGGUUGUUUAAAAUGUACAUGCCAUGGAGAAUUUAGUGAGCUAUCAAAAACAGUGGUGUUUAAUGAUUUACAUGCACCAAAAAGAAUUGAUAGGCUGUUUCGCAGAAGGAAGUACGGAAAACAUCAUAAAUAUGAUUCGCCUCUAUUACGCAUAAAGAAUUUAAACAUCAUAGACGCUAUAAUAAUAUCAGAUACUCUACAUCUCAUUGAAUUCGGCGUUUUGCGCAAACUUUUAAAUGGUUGGAAAGAUCAAACCCUAGGACUAAAAACAAAUUGGUCAAAUGUAGGUCAUAUAAUAUCAGACAUGCUUAGGAAAAUGAAACUUCCUUCAGAAAUUCGAAGGAAAAUGAGAGGUAUAGAUUGUCUUUCACAUUGGAAAGCCUCAGAAUUUUACACGUUCCUUCGGUACACAAGCAUUCCAAUAUUGAGGAAAUUUCUUGCAGCUCAUGCUUUCAAACACUUCUUGUUAUUGUUUUCCGCAAUUACCAUAUUGAGCAGCAAAUAUCACUAUUCGAAAUGGAAAUCAGCUAAUACAAUGCUAGAAACGUUUGUUUUAGAUUUUCAAACAAUUUAUGGAAAACAAUUUGUAACGAGCAAUAUACAUAAUUUAUUUCAUGUUUAUGACGAUGUACAUAAUUUUGGCCCUUUAAACACUAUAUCGACCUAUCUUUUCGAAAAUGCACUACAACUUUUAAAGAAAAUGCUUAAAGGCCGCAGCAACGAUUUAGAACAAGUUAUCAAUCGAAUAUCAGAGAAUAUCGAAUAUGUAUAUUGAUACAAUUUGAGUCAUUAGAUAAACACGAGAAAACGAAUUAUCCAAGGCUAGGAAAAAAGAAAAAUCAAACUAUGUUGCAUUUGAGAAAAGACUUCGUCCUAUGCAAGGAAUUCAAAGACCAGUGGUUUUUAAGUAAGGACCAUAGUGUUUAUAAAUUUUCAGGCGCCAUUGAACAGAAUUCCGAAAUAACCAUUUUUGCACAAAACAUGGCUGUUGUAGAAGAAGCAUUUGAUUCUCCAUGCUCCUCCUUAGAUUUACUUAUAUAUGAAGGGAGCAUAAAAGAUUUAGCAAUAGGAACAGUUACGCUUAAAGCAAGUGAUGUUAUGUGCAAAUUAGUAGCAGCAGGAACAGACAACCCAAACACUUUUAUCUUCAGCCCACUUCUCCAUACUCUUAUCGGAUAAUAGAUCCUAUUUUGAAUUAAGUUAACAUCACUACUUGUUUGAUAAGA